rnacentral:rRNA from 1 species
GACGAACGCUGGCGGUGUGCUUAGCACAUGCAAGUCGAACGGUAAGGCCCUUUCGGGGGUACACGAGUGGCGAACGGGUGAGUAACACGUGAGUAACCUGCCCUCAUCUCUGGGAUAACAGUCGGAAACGGUUGCUAAUACUGGAUAUGAGCCUGCAAGGCAUCUUGUGGGUUGGAAAGAUUUUUUGGUUGGGGAUGGACUCGCGGCCUAUCAGCUUGUUGGUGAGGUAGUGGCUCACCAAGGCUUCGACGGGUAGCCGGCCUGAGAGGGCGACCGGCCACAUUGGGACUGAGAUACGGCCCAAACUCCUACGGGAGGCAGCAGUGGGGAAUAUUGCACAAUGGACGGAAGUCUGAUGCAGCAACGCCGCGUGCGGGAGGACGGCCUUCGGGUUGUAAACCGCUUUCAAUUGUGACGAAGCUUUUUGUGACGGUAGCAGUAGAAGAAGCACCGGCUAACUACGUG